UUUAUUAAAAUUCAUGAAAAUUCAUGCUCAAUCAAACUAUCUCGGGUACAUGUUUUGGUUUUAUAGGGGUACACACACCACUUUUUUUUAAGGCCUAAAUCCGACGAGCUUUUCUCUUCCGGUUACUCUCUCACACCACCGGCUACUGCUCAUCUCUCAUCCCUUCUCCACGCCAUCGCUGCCGUAGACGAAGUCGCCGGAGGUGGCUGACCUCCAUUAACGUCGUCCAUCACCCUUGCUGCCUCUGGCUUCGUCUCUUUCUCAUCGCCAUUUUCUUCUUCUUUCUCAUCUCUGUCGCUUGUCUUUGGCCAGAUAUUAACGAGAUCUGGUAGGUUUGAUCAGAAAUACAAACGCCGGCGAUGUUUUCCUUGAGGUUAGGCGUUAUUCCGGGGGUCGCCGUCGAAGUAACGCCAACAACAACUGCGGUCGUUCGUCUGGCCGGAAAUUGCGUCCCUCGCCGGCGAUGUCGCUGUUGUUGUCGGAUUCUCGUUUUUGUGAGAUAGGGAUGGUUUAAUGUUGUUUUACCUGUGAUUGAUCUUAUGUCUUCAUUUUUGGCAACUGAGUGUGACCUAUAAUUUUGUGUUUUUGUUCGAUACUGCCAUUCUUGGUUGCUGCUCUUCUCCAUCUCAGUGAUACUAACACUUUUGGCUUGGGAUUUGACGUUUGACUUCUCCGGUGACACCUUUGGUCUUGCUUUGAUACUUUCAUCCAGUACUUGGAUAUGAGUAUUACGAUUUGGUGGGUUCAUUCUUUGAGUUAGGAUAUUAUUAAUACUGUUAAUUUGCUCGAGUCCCUGGCAGUUGAUACAUCGUGACUUGGUUCCUUCACAAAUUUGCACAUUUGAUUAUGAUGUUGGUACUUUGGCGUAUGAAUCUGCUGUGUGUUUAUGUCAUAUCUCCGUUGCACCAUUUUGGAUAUUGCUAAAUUUUGAAAUUUGCAGGAGGAUCUGUUUGCUUGUAAAAUAUUUUUGGUAUUGUUACUGUCCGUGUCUGUCAAUUGAGCACGAUGUUGGUAUUGAACAAAAUACUAUACUAGGGCCGAUGAGAAUAAUAUUUUGAGGUCACGAUGCCCCGAAUGAUCCUCUGGACUUGGCUCGAAAUAACGAGGCGAUGAUGAUAAACAUUGGAAACGAAAAAAGAUGAGAACAUGAACCAACAACAAUCUAUGGGAGGCGACACGAUUGGCCACUGGAGUUGCUACCGAGGUGGUUCCCGUUCUCAUGUCUAGACGAAUAUCGUAUAUUACAUGUAAUUGAGCCUCAUAUAUUAUUUUUAAACUAUUUUUUAAAAUUAUAUUCCAAAACUAUUUUCCAAAAACCUUUUCUAAAAACAUCUUCCAAACAUUUUCAAAAGAAAUAUUUUUCCAAAAUAUAUUUACUUUAGUUUAAAUUUAUAUUAUAUUAUUUCACUAAUGCAUUUGUCUUCUUCAUUUGCGAGGUACCCUAUUCAGUUAUACUUUGGAAAGAUGACGCUCGGAGACAAAGAUGAACUUCGUCAAAAUUCCCCACUUCGUGACUUCCCUUUUCGGAUGUACCCAAAACGGAAAGAAUAGUGAAAACAUAGAUAUAUGUCGUAUUGCUUGCUGAUAUUGCUUAUUUGCUAAACAUUUAGGGAAUUGCAUCUAGUUAAUAAUCGGAGUAACUUGCAAUAUUGUGCGUUAAAUAACUCUUGAAGUGUGUAUAGGAUGUUAAACAUAUUUUAUGAUGUGAUUAAUUAAUUUAGGACCAGCGUAUACCUAACUAAUUAGAUUAAUCAUAUCCAAAAAUGUUCUUGCGAAAAAAUAAAAUAAAUAAUUUUGUCUUUGUCUUCAAAUUAUAUGAAUAUCUUUUCGAACCACUUUAUGUAUAAAAUUGUUCUUUAAUUGACACAUCUGAAGUAGGGAAAUGUAGUUGGACUAUCAUACUAUUUUUUGAGAAACUUAGACCUUGUAGUCAUUCGGGUUUGGCUCACAUAAUUGUGUUCCAAGACCAUGACUCUGAAAAUGAUCUUUUGUUACUCAUCAAAUGAUAAUUCAUUAUUAGCACAAAUCUUUUUUUUUGCAUUGAUACAAUAAUUGUUUAUG
rnacentral:lncRNA from 1 species